CGAUGCCAGGAGGCCGCCGCUGAAAACUCACUCAUUUCACUGUCAUGGCGUCUCCCGUUGAUAACCUUAUAUUUUCUCCACUGAUGAAUGAGACUUCUUAAAUAUUCCAGCUGACCACAGCGUGUCGGGAUGACUUGGAUGUUAAACUCGCAGACAUGUCAAUGGUAGUCAAUUGAUCCAUCACGUUGCGGAGGGCCACUGGGCUUAGAGAAGGCCAAAGCGGCUUGAUCCUCCUCAAAUCCAAAGCAAACAGGCACAACAUGGCCGCCCUGAUGCGCCGCAGCCUCGGGGCCUGAAAACAGGAGUUCCCCUGAGCAGCUAUCAAAAGCUUUGCUUCCCGCCAAGUGCAAAGGCCUCACGAUCCCCUGGAGUCUCAGAGGGCGAGGAAGACACGACCGGAGUCAACAACCUUCGUCUGUCCUUUUCAAGACCUUUACCCGCUCAGAGCAAAGCGUCUCAAUGAAUCCAGAACUUUCACUGUAAAUAUACAUAUUGAAGCCAUUACUCGAGGAGUUUGGAUGAGUCAAACGAUGAAGAAUGGCAUUACUCGAGCAGCAAAAAAGACAAGUCUUUCUUUUGAAGACGAUACUCCGUCUCCGGUUGUCGGUUGUGUUUUGCUUCCCUGAAAACAUGCACUUCAGAGAAGAUCCGGUUCCAGAAGACAUGACAAACAUAU
ensembl:lncRNA